rnacentral:rRNA from 1 species
CUACGGGGGGCUGCAGUGAGGAAUAUUGCACAAUGGGGGGAACCCUGAUGCAGCAACGCCGCGUGGAGGAUGACGCAUUUCGGUGUGUAAACUCCUUUUAUAUGUCAAGAAAAUGACGGUAGCAUAUGAAUAAGCACCGGCUAACUCCGUGCCAGCAGCCGCGGUAAUACGGAGGGUGCAAGCGUUACUCGGAAUCACUGGGCGUAAAGGACGCGUAGGCGGGCUGGAAAGUCAGGUGUGAAAUCCUACAGCUUAACUGUAGAACUGCACUUGAAACUUCUAAUCUAGAGUAUGGGAGGGGAGAUGGAAUUAGUGGUGUAGGGGUAAAAUCCGUAGAUAUCACUAGGAAUACCUAAAGCGAAGGCGAUCUCCUGGAACAUUACUGACGCUAAGGCGUGAAAGCGUGGGGAGCAAACAGGAUUAGAUACCCCCGUAGUC